rnacentral:rRNA from 1 species
UACGAACCGUCCAAACGUUACUCGGAAUCACUGGGCUUAAAGGGUGCGUAGGCCGCGCGGAGGGUGGGAUGUGAAAUCCCCCGGCUCAACCGGGGAAUAGCGUCCCAAACCGCCGUGCUCGAGGGAGACAGAGGUGAGCGGAACUGAUGGUGGAGCGGUGAAAUGCGUUGAUAUCAUCAGGAACACCAGUGGCGAAAGCGGCUCACUGGCCCGAUACUGACGCUGAGGCACGAAAGCGUGGGGAGCAAACAGG